CCAUUUUGUACUUUCUGUUCAGAUGGAGCUUGAGGUCUGAAAUUUUGCAUAUAGCUACAAGUAGGAAAUGUUUGAUGGAGCUAGAGGUCUGAAAUUUCGAAUGUGGGUACAACUAAGAAAUAUCUAUUCACCAUUUACACAUAUUCGUACCAAAAUUGGUACUCUAAAGGUCUAAGAUUUGGCAUGCAGAUGGAGCUAGAGGUCUGAAAUUUGGCAUGCAGGUACAACUAGGAAAAAUAUGAUGGGUGACUAAAUGAUUUAUUAAAAAUUCGCACUUUUUGGAACCAAAAAGUGCAAAAUAGUGCGAAAUACAUUAUCUUCGCCUACAGCGAAUGCCGACAGCUAGAUUUAAACAAUUUGACAAACACAAUCGCAGUCAUGACACAAAUACGACACCUGGAAGGAAACGUACAAAUUGUGGUGCGACCAGAGAAUCAAAAUCGUACAUUAGGUGCUAAAAUAUACAAAAUGGUACUUUCUUUAAGAAUUGAGCUAAUGCUCUCAAAAUUGGGAUUCAUUUACACCAUGGCAAUUUAUAUUGGGCGACCUAAUUUUUCCUAUGUAUUGUUAUUCUUGGUACUAUUUGGUGCGUUCUUGCAAUUAAACUGCAACGGACUUCGUGGCAAGAUCGAUGA